rnacentral:rRNA from 1 species
AGCGGAGGAAAAGAAACCAACAGGGAUUGCCCCAGUAGCGGCGAGUGAAGCGGCAAGAGCUCAGAUUUGAAAUCGUGUUUCGGCACGAGUUGUAGAGUGUAGGCGGGAGUCUCUGUGGAGCGCGGUGUCCAAGUCCCUUGGAACAGGGUGCCUGAGAGGGUGAGAGCCCCGUAGGGUGCUGCGCGAAGCUUUUGAGGCCCUGCUGACGAGUCGAGUUGUUUGGGAAUGCAGCUCCAAGCGGGUGGUAAAUUCCAUCUAAGGCUAAAUAUUGGCGAGAGACCGAUAGCGAACAAGUACUGUGAAGGAAAGAUGAAAAGCACUUUGAAAAGAGAGUGAAACAGCACGUGAAAUUGUUGAAAGGGAAGGGUAUUGGGCUCGACAUGGGGGGUGCGCACCGCUGUCUCUUGUAGGCGGCGCUCUGGGCGCCCUCUGGGCCAGCAUCGGUUCCUGCUGCGGGAGAAGGGGCUCCGGAAAGUGGCUCUUCGGAGUGUUAUAGCCGGGGCCAGAUGCCGCGUGUGGGGACCGAGGACUGCGGCUUCUGUCUCGGAUGCUGGCAUAACGGCGCAAUACCGCCCGUCUUGA